AUUGAACGCUGGCGGCAGGCUUAACACAUGCAAGUCGAGCGGUAACAGAGAGAAGCUUGCUUCUCUGCUGACGAGCGGCGGACGGGUGAGUAAUGCCUAGGAAUCUGCCUAGUAGUGGGGGAUAACUUGCCGAAAGGUAAGCUAAUACCGCAUACGUCCUACGGGAGAAAGGAGGGGACCUUCGGGCCUUUCGCUAUUAGAUGAGCCUAGGUCGGAUUAGUUAGUUGGUGCGGUAAUGGCUCACCAAGACCGCGGUCCGUAACUGGUCUGAGAGGAUGAUCAGUCACACUGGAGCUGAGACACGGUCCAGACUCCUACGGGAGGCAGCAGUGGGGAAUAUUGGACAAUGGGGGGAACCCUGAUCCAGCCAUGCCGCGUGUGUGAAGAAGGUCUUAGGAUUGUAAAGCACUUUAAGUUGGGAGGAAGAGCAGUUAACUAAUAUUUGACUGUUUUGACGUUACCGACAGAAUAAGCACCGGCUAACUUCGUGCCAGCCGCCGCCGUAA
rnacentral:rRNA from 1 species